GACGAACGCUGGCGGCGUGCUUAACACAUGCAAGUCGAACGGUGAAAGCGGAGCUUGCUCCGCUGGAUCAGUGGCGAACGGGUGAGUAACACGUGGGCAACCUGCCCUUCACUUCGGGAUAACUCCGGGAAUCCGGGGCUAAUACCGGAUAUGACCUCUGCGGGCAUCCGCGGAGGUGGAAAGUUUUUCGGUGAAGGAUGGGCCCGCGGCCUAUCAGCUUGUUGGUGAGGUAGUGGCUCACCAAGGCGACGACGGGUGGCCGGCCUGAGAGGGCGCCGGGCCACACUGGGACUGGGACAGGGCCCAGACUCCUACGGGAGGCAGCAGUGGGGAAUAUUGCGCAGUGGGCGAAAGCCUGACGCAGCAACGCCGCGUGCGGGAUGACGGCCUUCGGGUUGUAAACCGCUUUCAGCAGGGAAGAAGCCGCAAGGUGACGGUACCUGCAGAAGAAGCACCAGCUAACUACGUGCCAGCCGCCGCCGUAA
rnacentral:rRNA from 1 species